AAUCAACGCUGGCGGCGUGCCUAACACAUGCAAGUCGCACGAGAAAGGGGAGCAAUCCCUGAGUAAAGUGGCGCACGGGUGAGUAACACGUGAAUCAUCUACCUCCGAGUGGGGAAUAACUGAGAGAAAUCUUAGCUAAUACCGCAUAACACUUACGAGUCAAAGCAGCAAUGCGCUUGGAGAGGAGUUCGCGGCCGAUUAGUUAGUUGGCGGGGUAANGGCCCACCAAGACGAUGAUCGGUAUCCGGCCUGAGAGGGCGGCACGGACACACUGGAACUGAAACACGGUCC
rnacentral:rRNA from 1 species